rnacentral:misc_RNA from 1 species
AAAAAAAAAAAAAAAGGUCAAAAGGAUGGCAAACCAAGGCAGCGGCAGAGGCAGUUCGAGGCAUGAGCCAAGUUGGAAUUUCAGCUACCAGUCUGGUUUAUCGCCGGAUGGGAGUUGGACUUACAAUUGGGCUGCAGGUUCAGGUCCUGGUGGAAGCACUUUUAGCUUUGGAUCAGGUGCUGGUUGGAGGCCUGAUGGUGCAACUGUAGGGUUUGGUUUCGGAUGGGGCGGAUCUAGCAGUGCAGGUUAUGGAUUUUACGGAGGCAGCAGUGGAUUUGGAUUUGGUGGAGGCAGUGGUGGUUUCAAUUUUCAUCAUAAUUUUGGUGGCGCCCAAGGUCAACGCACAUCUGGCCAACCCAGAACCGACGGGACUCGCAAUCGACUGGGUGGGAACAAUUGAUUACAACUCUGUAUGAUUGUAGUUCUUUUAUUAAGGGAUAGAUGUGAGGGUUGAACAUGACCACCUGCUCUAUGAUGUAUUGUAGAUGAUUGUGUAUGCAUAUUUACUAAUUUCUGUGUUUGUAUAAUGUAAGAAAUUUGGUUAUGAUUGCAAUCAAAAGAAAUACAGAUUAUCCUGUAUGAUUGCAAUCAAAAGAAAUACAGAUUAUCCUGUAUGAUUGCAAUCAAAAGAAAUACAGAUUAUCCUG